GCGGUCAUCGUAUAAUGGCUAUUACCUCAGCCUUACAAGCUGAAGAUGCGGUUUCGAUUUCCGUUGACUGCGCCA
rnacentral:tRNA from 1 species